rnacentral:SRP_RNA from 1 species
CGGCGGGGAAAGCCUCGGGGGGCUAGCCCUCCCCUGUCGCCGCAAACGGGCUAUACGGCGGGAGGCGUUAACCCGCAGGGGCGCUCGGAGGGCCCACCGGCUCCGCGGGGGUGACCCCGUGAAACCGGCUCCGCGGGACGCUCUGUCCCACCGGGUCUCCUGUAGGGGAGACCCAGGGGGGUACGGCCGAACCGGGUUAGGCCCGGGAGGGAGCGGCCCUAAGGCCGGCAGAGCGUGUUCGCGACAAGCUGGGUCGAGGGCUACACCCCUGCAGAGAGGUGGUCUCCUCCAAGCCACCCUGUGGGGAGGCCGCCG